CCUACGGGGGGCUGCAGUGGGGAAUAUUGCACAAUGGGGGAAACCCUGAUGCAGCGACGCCGCGUGAGUGAAGAAGUAUUUCGGUAUGUAAAGCUCUAUCAGCAGGGAAGAAGAAAGACGGUACCUGACUCAGAAGCCCCGGCUAACUACGUGCCAGCAGCCGCGGUAAUACGUAGGGGGCAAGCGUUAUCCGGAUUUACUGGGUGUAAAGGGAGCGUAGACGGCUGUGCAAGUCUGAAGUGAAAGCCCAGGGCUCAACCCUGGGACUGCUUUGGAAACUGUGGAGCUAGAGUGCUGGAGAGGUAAGUGGAAUUCCUAGUGUAGCGGUGAAAUGCGUAGAUAUUAGGAGGAACACCAGUGGCGAAGGCGGCUUACUGGACAGUAACUGACGUUGAGGCUCGAAAGCGUGGGGAGCAAACAGGAUUAGACACCCUAGUAGUC
rnacentral:rRNA from 1 species